rnacentral:tRNA from 1 species
GUAGGUGUAGCUCAGUGGUAGAGCUCUUGGCUAGCAUGAGUUCCUGGGUUCAGUUCCCAGUAAACACA